rnacentral:lncRNA from 1 species
CCAAAAUGCCUGACAAUAUAAUUUCCACUAAGGGAAAAGUUGUUUGAAGACGGAUCAGUUUUGACAGAUGUUUCUUUAAUCGGCAGAUUGUCUUUGAUUUAAUUAGCUUAUGUCGCUUACAUCACUGAGGUUGAAAUAAAUUAUCGUUUUAUAAUUUGAUUUAAAUCUUGUUGCUGUUCCUAACUGGGGGAGUUACUCGUUUUCCCUGCCAAAGUCCAUUUUUACUCACAUUGGCGCUUUGUGAGUGUUAAUUUGGAACCCUGAUAACAGCGAUUGGACUGGUCAUUGUCAUGUGCUUCUAAAACAGUUGUGUACACGAGUAUUCAUUUCACUGACUCUUUUUCUCUCUGUACAUUUAAUUCUGUUUUAUGCCCCUCUCCUUUCCUCUCUUGUCUUUUUAUCGUCCUUUUUAUGUCCGGAAAAAAAGAAAAACAUAAUGUGGUGCAAGGUUGUGACCCAGCUUAAGUCUCCUGCAGUGAUUGCACAGUUUGUCAUGUGCUUCUAAAACAGUUGUGUACACGAGUAUUCAUUUCACUGACUCUUUUUCUCUCUGUACAUUUAAUUCUGUUUUAUGCCCCUCUCCUUUCCUCUCUUGUCUUUUUAUUCGCCUUUUAUUGUACCGGAAAAAAAAGAAAAAACAAUAAUGUGGUGCAAGGUUGUGACCCAGCUUAAGUCUCCUGCAGUGAUUGCACAGUAACUAUAGAGGAGACAGCACACAAAUACAAGUAAACAUAUGUUGUGUUGUUUUGUAGGGUCCCCUUGGUCCGCAUGGAAACCCAGGCCACCCAGGGACUGCCGGACCCAAGGGUAAAAAGGGAGACCCUGGAAUCUCACCUGGCAGAGCACCAAAUGGAAUAAAGGGGGACCCUGGGAUAUUAGGGCUACCCGGACUACCCGGUCAAGCUGGUCGGAAGGGACAGAAAGGCCAUCCUGGUCCCUCUGGCCACCCCGGAGAUCAAGUGAGUUCCUAUGCCACUGCUUUUUUUACUUUCCACAAGAGGAGAAUUAAAGGAAUUUAUAAAACUAGAGGAUUGACAAAACUAUGAUAUUAACAUAACCUAAGUAAAAAUCCUAAAGUUGCCGUCACAUUCACCAUUGCUUUGCAAACUUUUGAAGGUGAAUUCUGAAGUGAAUUGGGAAGAAUUUCACUUGAUAGAGUUUCCCUCUGCAAUUUUAUGCUUGUGGUUGGCAGAAUAGCUUUUGGUUUUUUUAUUAUUAUUAUGUCAUUAUUCCCAUUAUUACAUCUGUGGCUUUCUUUUGCCUGUGAAAUUUGACUGUGCAAAUGUGACCACACCUUAGCUCUGAAUAUUAUCUUGUCUGUUUAGUAGACAUGAUGAUUUC